AGUCGAACGAAGCUUGACGGAUGAUUUCUUCGGAAUGAAACCUGAUAUGACUUAGUGGCGGACGGGUGAGUAACACGUGAGCAACCUGCCUUUCAGAGGGGGAUAACGGCUGGAAACGGUCGCUAAUACCGCAUGACGUGUUCGGAUGGCAUCAUCUGAACAUCAAAGAUUUAUCGCUGAAAGAUGGGCUCGCGUCUGAUUAGAUAGUUGGUGGGGUAACGGCCUACCAAGUCGACGAUCAGUAGCCGGACUGAGAGGUUGAACGGCCACAUUGGGACUGAGAUACGGCCCAGACUCCUACGGGAGGCAGCAGUGGGGAAUAUUGCACAAUGGGGGAAACCCUGAUGCAGCAACGCCGCGUGAAGGAUGACGGUUUUCGGAUUGUAAACUUCUUUUCUUAGUGACGAAGACAGUGACGGUAGCUAAGGAAUAAGCAUCGGCUAACUACGUGCCAGCAGCCGCGGUAAUACGUAGGAUGCAAGCGUUAUCCGGAUUUACUGGGUGUAAAGGGAGCGCAGGCGGGACUGCAAGUUGGAUGUGAAAUACCGUGGCUUAACCACGGAACUGCAUCCAAAACUGUAGUUCUUGAGUGAAGUAGAGGCAAGCGGAAUUCCGAGUGUAGCGGUGAAAUGCGUAGAUAUUCGGAGGAACACCAGUGGCGAAGGCGGCUUGCUGGGCUUUAACUGACGCUGAGGCUCGAAAGUGUGGGGAGCAAACAGGAUUAGAUACCCGGUAGUCCACACUGUAAACGAUGAUAGCUAGGUGUGGGGGGUCUGACCCCUUCCGUGCCGGAGUUAACGCAAUAA
rnacentral:rRNA from 1 species